UACGUAGGGGGCAAGCGUUGUCCGGAAUUAUUGGGCGUAAAGCGCGUGUAGGCGGCUCGGUAAGUCUGCUGUGAAAAUCCGGGGCUCAACCCCGGACUGCAGUGGGUACGGGCAGACUGGGAGUGGUGGUAGGGGAGACUGGAAUUCCUGGUGUAGCGGUGGAAUGCGCAGAUAUAGGAGGAACACCGAUGGCGAAGGCAGGUCUC
rnacentral:rRNA from 1 species